rnacentral:tRNA from 1 species
AAUGAUGAAGGAACGUUACCAAGUUACUGCUAAUAACUUGUCGUCAGUUAAUGCUGACUUCCUUUU